CACGUAGGGCGCGAGCGUUGUCCGGAAUUAUUGGGCGUAAAGAGCUCGUAGGCGGUUUGUCGCGUCUGCCGUGAAAGUCCGGGGCUCAACUCCGGAUCUGCGGUGGGUACGGGCAGACUAGAGUGCAGUAGGGGAGACUGGAAUUCCUGGUGUAGCGGUGAAAUGCGCAGAUAUCAGGAGGAACACCGAUGGCGAAGGCAGGUCUCUGGGCUGUAACUGACGCUGAGGAGCGAAAGCAUGGGGGAGCGAACAGG
rnacentral:rRNA from 1 species